AGUGUUGGCAUGCUCGUUCUACAGCCAUGCCAUCGAUGGCAUGCUGCUGCUCGUCGCGAGCCGCGCACACGCGCCCCUGCGCCGCACCGCCGAGCACCCCCAGUCCGCCCGGCUUUGUUGAACCCUCCCAUGGCCGCCCCAUCACCAACCUGUCUCGCCGCAGGCGAGGGCGCCGCCGCCAUUGCCGCUCGUGCUGCUGCUCCCGUCGCCGGCCCUCCUCCGGCCACCUCGGCAUCAACCAAGACCACCCAGAGGUACGAUAGAUGAACCACGUGAAGGACGUGAUAUUGGAACCGAACACGAAGACGAUGUUUGGUGGACAUAUCCAGAAGAGGCAAAGAACCAGGAGUACAUGCUUGGACCGGAAUACUCGCCAAGCGAGUGUCAUCUAACUAACACUGACUCAGUGUUAAUCCCAGGCAAUCCCCGGAGCAUAACCUAUUAUUUUAACUUAUGAAAUGUUAUAUAUGUAUUUACUUGCUUAUGCAUUACGUUUCUAGGCAUUGGAUGAAACCCUAGUUGCAUAAUUCCUAGGUUCCAUUGGUCGGAAUACUAGUAUGUUUAUGUGGUUAUCCUUGCCAUGCUAAAAUUAGGAUUCGGUAGAAGUCGAGUAAUGUCCUGUUACUCGCGAGAUAUAGGAUGGCUUUAUGAUUGAUUAUGGAAUAUUGGAAUAUGGA